rnacentral:rRNA from 1 species
CCUACAGGAGGCAGCAGUGAGGAAUAUUGGUCAAUGGGCGGGAGCCUGAACCAGCCAAGUCGCGUGAGGGAAGACGGUCCUAUGGAUUGUAAACCUCUUUAGGCGGGGAGCAAUGCCGGGCACGCGUGCCCGGAGGGAGAGUACCCGCAGAAUAAGCAUCUGCUACUCCGUGCCAGCAGCCGCGAUAAUACGGAGGAGGCGAGCGUUAUCCGGAUCUAUUGGGUUUAAAGGGUGCGUCGGCGGAUUUUUAAGUCAGGUGUAAAAGGUCCGGGCAAAACCGGACCGGCCGUUGAAAUUGGGGAGCUAGAGUGGGCGAGAGGGAUGCGGAAUGCGUGGUGUAGCGGUGAAAUGCAUAGAUAUCACGCAGAACACCGAUUGCGAAGGCAGCAUACCGGCGCCCGACUGACGCUGAGGCACGAAAGCGUGGGGAUCGAACAGGAUUAGAUACCCGAGUAGUC